AGAAGGUUCAGGAAUAUACUGAAAGAGAUCGCUUUUUCUCUGCUUCUGAGGCGUUGGAGUUCGGUCUUGUUGAUGGAGUGCUGGAAACUGAAUACUGAUUGGAUCUGAAAGUUGUAAGGUGAUUUGUACUUCCAGCUAGACCAUACAUACAUGCGACAGCUGAGGCGUCUUGGUGCACACAGCUUACAGAAAUUCAAGCUAGUGUUUGAGAGAUAUCAUCAGGAUUAUGUUUAACUGAUUAAUUCAGAAUGAUAGGCGAUGUAUGGAAGAUGGUGGCAACA
rnacentral:misc_RNA from 1 species